rnacentral:rRNA from 1 species
UACGUAGGGUGCAAGCGUUGUCCGGAAUUAUUGGGCGUAAAGAGCUCGUAGGCGGUUUGUCGCGUCUGCUGUGAAAACUCAGGGCUUAACCCUGAGCUUGCAGUGGGUACGGGCAGACUAGAGUGCGGUAGGGGAGACUGGAAUUCCUGGUGUAGCGGUGAAAUGCGCAGAUAUCAGGGAGGAACACCGGUGGCGAAGGCGGGUCUCUGGGCCGGAUACUGACGCUGGAGGAGCGAAAGCGUGGGGAGCGAACAGGAUAGAA